UACGAAGGUGGCAAGCGUUGUUCGGAUUUACUGGGCGUACAGGGAGCGUAGGCGGUUGGAUAAGCCCUCCGUGAAAUCUCCAGGCUUAACCUGGAAAGUGCAGAGGGGACUGUUCAGCUAGAGGAUGGGAGAGGAGCGCGGAAUUCCCGGUGUAGCGGUGAAAUGCGUAGAGAUCGGGAGGAAGGCCGGUGGCGAAGGCGGCUCACUGGCCCGGUACUGACGCUCAUGUGCGAAAGCGUGGGGAGCGAACAGG
rnacentral:rRNA from 1 species